UGGCGGGUAGCUCAGCAGGAAGAGCAUUACCACUACAUGGUAAAGGUCAUUGGUUCGAUUCCAGUCCCGCCAA
rnacentral:tRNA from 1 species